rnacentral:sRNA from 1 species
UUAACACAUGCAAGUCGAGCGGUCUAGGAACUAGAUACUAGAAACUAGAAACUAGGGGUUGAAUCGCUGCGCGAUGAUUUAUUCUAAAGAAUCACCUUGCUUGGUAAGGUUCGACUUCCACUUUCUAGUUUCUAGUCUCUAGUUUCUAGAUAGCGGCGGACGGGUGAGUAACGCGUAGGAAUCUGCCGUACAGAGGGGAACAACAGAUGGAAACGUCUGCUAAUACCGCAUGAAGCCUGAGGGUGAAAGGUCGCGCAAGCGGUCGCUGUAUGAUGAGCCUGCGUUGGAUUAGCUGGUUGGUGAGGUAAAGGCUCACCAAGGCGAUGAUCCAUAGCUGUUCUGAGAGGAAGAUCAGCCACACUGGGACUGAGACACGGCCCAGACUCCUACGGGAGGCAGCAGUGGGGAAUAUUGGACAAUGGGGGCAACCCUGAUCCAGCAAUACCACGUGUGUGAAGAAGGCCUUAGGGUUGUAAAGCACUUUAGUUCGUGAGGAAGGCUAUCAGGUUAAGAGCUGGAUAGUUUGACGUUAGCGAAAGAAUAAGCACCGGCAAACUCCGUGCCAGCAGCCGCGGUAAUACGGAGGGUGCGAGCGUUAAUCGGAAUGACUGGGCGUAAAGGGUUCGUAGGUGGUCAGAUAAGUCAGAUGUGAAAUACCUGGGCUCAACCUGGGAGGGUCAUUUGAAACUGUUUGACUAGAGUUUACUAGAGGAUUGGGGAAUUUCCGGUGUAGCGGUGAAAUGCGUAGAGAUCGGAAGGAACAUCAAUGGCGAAGGCAACAAUCUGGGGUUGAACUGACACUGAGGGACGAAAGCGUGGGGAUCAAACAGGAUUAGAUACCCUGGUAGUCCACGCUGUAAACGAUGAGUACUAGCUGUUGGUCCUGGUGUAAAAGGAUUAGUGGCGCAGCAAACGCGAUAAGUACUCCGCCUGGGGACUACGGCCGCAAGGUUAAAACUCAAAGGAAUUGACGGGGACCCGCACAAGCGGUGGAGCAUGUGGUUUAAUUCGAUGCAACGCGAAGAACCUUACCUGCCCUUGACAUCCAUAGAAGACGAGAGAGAUUUUGUUGUGCCUUCGGGAACUAUGAGACAGGUGCUGCAUGGCUGUCGUCAGCUCGUGUUGUGAAAUGUUGGGUUAAGUCCCGCAACGAGCGCAACCCUUAUUUUUAGUUGCCAUCAUUAAGUUGGGCACUCUAGAGAGACUGCCGCUGAUAAGGCGGAGGAAGGUGGGGACGACGUCAAGUCAUCAUGGCCCUUACGGGCAGGGCUACACACGUGCUACAAUGGGCAUUACAGAGGGAGGCGAAGGUGCGAGCUGAAGCGAAACUCAGAAAGGUGUUCGUAGUCCGGAUUGCGCUCUGCAACUCGAGCGCAUGAAGUCGGAAUCGCUAGUAAUCGCGGAUCAGCAUGCCGCGGUGAAUACGUUCCCGGGUCUUGUACACACCGCCCGUCACACCAUGGGAGUGGGUUGCAAAAGAAGUAGAUAGUCUAACCGUAAGGGGGACGUUUACCACUUUGUGAUUCAUGACUGGGGUGAAGUCGUAACAAGGUAGCCGUAGGGGAACCUGCGGCUGGAUCACCUCCUUAAAGGUACGAGUAUGAUGUUGAAUUUUUAAUGUUGAAUGUUGAAUUUUUGAUGUUUGAAGUACGAAAGAAAUUAAGAAAGAGCGAGAAGUAUUUGAGUGUUUACAAAUGAUGUUUUUUCUAGAGACUAGAAACUAGAGACUAGAAACUAGAAACUAGAAACUAGAGACUAGAGACUAGAGACUAGAAACUAGAAUACUUCUAGAAACUAGUCUCUAGUCUCUAGUAUCUAGUGGGUCUGUAGCUCAGCUGGUUAGAGCGCACCCCUGAUAAGGGUGAGGUCGGUAGUUCAAGUCUACUCAGACCCACCAUCUAGAGACUAGUGUCAAGAGACUAGAAACUAGGGAUUGAAUCUUGCUGUGCGAGAUGAUUUUUUAAAUGAAUCAUCGCGAAGCGAUUCGAGUCUGGUUUCUAGUUUCUAGAGUAAGCGCAGCGAGCGUUCUAGUAUCUAGAGGGGCCAUAGCUCAGCUGGGAGAGCGCCUGCUUUGCACGCAGGAGGUCAGGAGUUCGAUCCUCCUUGGCUCCACCAUCUAGAGACUAGUGUCAAGAGACUAGAAACUAGGGAUUGAAUCUUGCUGUGCGAGAUGAUUUUUUAAAUGAAUCAUCGCGAAGCGAUUCGAGUCUGGUUUCUAGUUUCUAGAGUAAGCGCAGCGAGCGUUCUAGUAUCUAGAGCCGAGAUCUUUAACAAUUUAUUAUAGAGUAAUGACCAAGAGAAUAAGCGCAAACGGCGGAUGCCUUGGCAGUCAGAGGCGAGGAAAGACGUGAUAGCCUGCGAAAAGCUUCGGGGAGCUGGCAAAUAAGCAUUGAUCCGAAGAUAUCUGAAUGGGGGAACCCACCUCACUCAUAAAGUGCUCAGCACUUUAUUCAUUUCGAGAAACUAGAGAUUGGAAACUAGAAACUAGAGUGAGUAGAGGGUGUAAUUUGUGCAUGAAUGAGUAUUUUAAGAGUGGGGUAUCACUGACGUAAGUUAAGUGAGGCGAACGUGGGGAACUGAAACAUCUAAGUACCCAUAGGAAAAGAAAUCAACCGAGAUUCCCUAAGUAGCGGCGAGCGAAGGGGGAAGAGCCUGGUAUACUUUAGCAUGUGAGUUAGUCGAACAUUCUGGGAAGGAUGACCAUAGCAGGUGAUAGUCCUGUAGACGAAAGCUUGGAUGUGGAACUAGGUAUACGAAUAAGUAGGGCGGGACACGAGAAAUCCUGUUUGAAGAAGGGGGGACCUCCUCCAAGGCUAA